UACGGGGGGGGUAAGCGUUGUUCGGAAUUACUGGGCGUAAAGGGCUCGUAGGCGGCCAACUAAGUCGGACGUGAAAUCCCUCAGCUUAACUGGGGAACUGCGUCUGAUACUGGAUGGCUUGGAUUUGGGAGAGGGAUGCGGAAUUCCAGGUGUAGCGGUGAAAUGCGUAGAUAUCUGGAGGAACACCGGUGGCGAAGGCGGCAUCCUGGACCAACAUUGACGCCGAGGAGCGAAAGCCAGGGGAGCAAACGGG
rnacentral:rRNA from 1 species